UGGCGGACGGGUGAGUAACGCGUGGAUAACCUGCCGUAUACAGGGGGAUAACACCUGGAAACAGGUGCUAAUACCGCAUAAGCGCACGGUCCCGCAUGGGACAGUGUGAAAAGCUCCGGCGGUAUACGAUGGAUCCGCGUCUGAUUAGCCAGUUGGCGGGGUAACGGCCCACCAAGGCGACGAUCAGUAGCCGGCCUGAGAGGGCGGACGGCCACAUUGGGACUGAGACACGGCCCAGACUCCUACGGAAGGCAGCAG
rnacentral:rRNA from 1 species